AGUGCUGUAUCUAUGGUAUGUUGUCUAACUCCGAAUUAGCUUUUUCCGGCAAGCUGAAUGUGUUAUGUUGCGCCUUACAGAGUGUUUAUACUGGAAUGCUUAUUACACACAGCUGUUGGAAUGUAAUAUUCAUCUUUUAUUUUCUACCAAAUUUGGAGGUGUUGAAAUCGCCAUGUAAUAUCGCUAAUGCUAAUAGUAGCCUGUCUAUGGCAAAUCCAAUGUAAAUUAACAUCAAGCUAGUGCAUUUUGGAAGUUUUAUUUUACGUUUGCACGUUACUUACUUUGGCGGUGUUGAAAAUUGCAACGUUACUACGAGGAAAUUUGUCUGAUUGAUAUUUGGCACCGUUCUAUACCCGGUAGUACUGACGGGUGCCUGAAAGGUUCCGAAGUUGGUACCUAUCCCUAUCGACAAGAUGAGAUUUUGUGUGACUGUACAUUUGAAAUAGCAAGGAUCUACUGUGUGGUAUGGUAGUGACCUGGUGAUGAGCUCCUCUGCGGCGCGGGCGCACAGCUGCACCACGGCGGCCUCCUCCUCCGAGGCCAGGUCCACAGACUGCUGCGGGUAGAGGUGAGGCCGCAGGGGAGGCUUGUCGUACUUCAGCUUGUCCUCCCACGACUUGAGCGUGUUCUCGAAGGCCUGCGGGGAGCGGCAGAGGAGGCAAUGCCACCGUGUUCCGGAGGCACGGCAGCAGAAGACGAUGUUUGCUCACCCGGUCUCUGGUGAGCAUCUGGGCUCUGUUCUUGUGCUGGAGCUUGAUGACUCCAGGCGGCUGGAUCCACGCCUCGCCGUCCACCUGGAUGGGAACGCCCUCGUCGCCCAGGAUGGUGAUCUUGACCGUCCGGCACUGGUUUUUAAACGCGUACAUCAGUGAGGUGUCCACCUUUGACCCAGGUAGUGCGCAGUAAGGGUUCCCACCUGCGCUAUACGGUGAUGUUGCAGCUUGAUGACCCGGGAAACGGCCAUCUGCAUGCUGCCAAACACAGCCACCACCUCCAGGAUCUUAUCGUCAAACGACGGAGCGCAGAAGAUCUGCAAAGGACCAGCAGCCAACUUACGUCGUCCUCCUUGGUGCCGCCCCAGAAGUUGGUCCCGCCCGCGUAGCUGGGAAUGUUCAGGACGGCGAUGCCCUGCAGGCUGGGCAGGGGGAUGUAUUGGCCGUCACACUGCUGGACCUUCUGCUCCAGGUUCUUGUAGGUUCUCUGGAGGAGCUCCUUUGUUCCCAGAACGCCAUACCACAUCAUGUUCUUGGUGCGACUCCUGGGAAAUAAUCAAGAAAAGAUGAAGCACUCGUACCUAGUGAUCUACGUGACAACACAUUUACAAAGUUAUAACCUUGAAUUAUGGCCAACUUAUGUGCAAAAGUAAAUAGGAGUUUUAAAAAACAUUUUUCCUCACCGCC